ensembl:lncRNA
GUGGGGUACAUGAUCAGCUCAUGGACAUUCUUCUGAUAGCUUGGUGGUGAGUGCUGGAGAAGACUCUUGAGAGUCCCUUGGACUGCAAGGAUAUCAAACCAGUCACUCCUAAAGGAAAUCAACCCUGAAUAUUCAUUGGAAGAGAGAAAAUUGGAAGAUGCCAAAGCUGAAGCUCCAAUACUUUGGCCACCUGAUGCAAAGAGCCAACUCAUUGGAAAAGAAUUUGAUGCUGGGAAAGAUUGAAGUCAAAAAGAGAAGGGGACAACAGAGGAUGAGAUGGUUGGAUGGCAUCACCCACUCAAUGGACAUGAAUUUGAGUAAUCUCCAGGAGAUAGUGGAGGACAGAGGAGCCUGCAGCCUGGCUGCAGUCCAUGGGGUCAUAAAGAAUCAGACAUGACUUUGUGACUGAACAACAACAAUAUAUUUCAAGUCAAUGGUGAAAAUUUUGUAACCACACAAUUUGUUGGUUUAGUCAAUGUAAUUAAAAUAUUUCAAGGACUUCCCUGGAGGUUCAAUAGUUAAGAUUCUGUUUUCAAUACAGGGGGCUCAGGUUUAAGCUCUGGUCUGGGAACUAAUAGCCCACAUACUGUCUGGCACAGCCAAAAAAAAAAAAGGAAAAUAUAUUUUAAAUUUCAUAAAUGUUAAUAUAUGAUCCUGAUGUUGACCUUAGUAUAAUAUUUUUAAAGAGUAGGUUGGAAAGAAGUUGGGAAGUCCUAGAACUGUAAUUCCAAUAUUCCAACCCUGUUAAUAUAUAAUUACAAUGAGUUCAGAACCUUCAGAUUUUCAUUCCCUGUCUGACAUCAAUAAUGCAAAAUAUCUAUUCCCAUUUGACUCUCUGAUAUUUACAUAGUCUUUCAAGAGACUGCAUUAGAAGUGACUUAAUGACCAUGCAGGCUCACGGCAUCUUGUUGCUCUACAGGCUGACUUCAGAUGUAUUGGGAAAUUCUGUGUGGGAACAAACACUGGCAGUGCCCCUGCCAAGGGCACUGAAUCAACAUGCCAGAGCACAGUCCUCAUUCCCAGCCAGCCAAGCUGGGCACACAGAGCCUGGCUCACUGGUUCAGAGCAC